GUCAGACUGGUCUGGUUUAGAGCGGCAUUGUGAGUUCUUGUAUGAAGGUCCAGAAAGAGAGCCUUUACACUUCUACAGAUGAUAUCAUCAUUGUUCCUGUUCCCAACACAGUUCCUCAGCUGUUACUUCAUGACAUGUCUUGGAGAUUCCUAAUACAGAAAAAAGAGUGAAACAAUUGGUAGACACAUUUGAUCUUAACCCAUUUCCCCCUACUGGUAUUCCUCUAUCAGCUUUUGCCUUCCGGUGAACCUACCAGCUGUCCUGGAUGCUGAACUCCAUUUAAAUCUUACUGUCUCCCCAUUGUGUCUGUCUCGG